AUUGAACGCUGGCGGCAUGCCUUACACAUGCAAGUCGAACGGUAACAGGUCUUCGGAUGCUGACGAGUGGCGAACGGGUGAGUAAUACAUCGGAACGUGCCUAGUAGUGGGGGAUAACUACUCGAAGGAGUGGCUAAUACCGCCUGAGAUCUACGGAUGAAAGCAGGGGAUCGCAAGAACUUGUGCUACUAGAGCGGCCGAUGGCAGAUUAGGUAGUUGGUGGGAUAAAAGCUUACCAAGCCGACGAUCUGUAGCUGGUCUGAGAGGACGAUCAGCCACACUGGGACUGAGACACGGCCCAGACUCCUACGGGAGGCAGCAGUGGGGAAUUUUGGACAAUGGGCGAAAGCCUGAUCCAGCAAUGCCGCGUGCAGGAUGAAGGCCUUCGGGUUGUAAACUGCUUUUGUACGGAACGAAAAGCCCCGGGUUAAUACCCUGGGGUCAUGACGGUACCGUAAGAAUAAGCACCGGCUAACUACGUGCCAGCCGCCGCCGUAA
rnacentral:rRNA from 1 species